GCGAACCACAGGGGCUUUCUAGGUCCGGGUGAUAACCAGUCUCCUGACACAACAUACGCCACAUCUGAAGCUGGACCACUAAGAAGAGCUGAAGAAAAUUGACGUAGGAGGACCAAAUCGCGAGGGAUCGAACCGAGAUACUGUCAAACCUUUCCUGUGCGCGUCUGCCUAGAGUGGGUGACAAAGAUCAGAACGUCGGCACCCCCAUUUCACAGUCCCCGAGAACCUCUCUAGUCCUUCAGGGAACGUCAGUGCACCUUGGGCUUCUGCUUCUCCGUGCUGCGAACAUCAAAGGAAGCACUUUUACUAGAGAGAGUUCUGGAGGUAUUUUGAACACAAGACUAUUUUAAAUAACCACAAUGCCAAGAUCUCUUCAUGCAUUUUACAGCAGUAUCCCUGGGGAGGGUCAAGGCCCCCAGUAUGUAUGUCACUCCCCAGGAGAACCUCAUGUGUUCCUAGGGUGAGGACCACUUCCCUACAGACCUGAGUGAUGUAGGAAGGAAGAGCAGGCCCAGCCUAGGGUGGACCUGCUUCCUGGACUGGGUCCUUGACCAUGACUUGCAGCUUGCUGAUGUAACCAACGAGACUUUGAGUUACAGACAGGAUUCAGCAGGUACCAGACACCAACGUGGGAGACUGAGGAACCGUGCCCUGUGCAGAACGGGAGUCCCCAGCCCGUCAUCCUACCCGAUACCUCACACUCCUUCACAGGAGCCACAUUUCACUCAGCCUUGACAUGACUCUGAUCAGCCACAAUAUUUGCCCAUGGCAUGGCCAAGAUAGCUCAGGGCAAGGCUAGGUGGUGCUGGUGUAGUCUGGUCAUAAUGGCCUGUGAUGGUACGGGUUACUCAGCUCGCGUUCGGUGGGCAUGUCAAUGACUAUCAUAAUCCACAGAGAUCACUCAUGGGGUUGUCUGAUAACUAGGCUGCUGAAGCAGGUUAAACUUUCUCCGUGUCUUUAUGGGGGGGGGGGGGACGCGGUUUGGAGAUCUUAAUAACAUGUUCUCAGAGAUCAAUUUUGAAAUCUAUUUGUCCCUUUUUCAAUCUCACAAGGUAGACAAAAUCAGAAUCCUGCCUCUCAUUUCUACAAAAAACAGGAAAGCUGGCAGGUAGCUUUCAGAUGAGAUGAGACCCUCCUGGACCCCGAGACCACCCCUGAGGUCUGAGUGACACCCUGAUUUCUGCUGGUUUCCACUGGUGCUGGGGCAGCCUCUGGGACCAGACAUAGUGUCUGUGUAGAGUGGAAGUAAUGACUGCACAUUUCUAAUGAAAAUGAUCCCAUCUAUGGCAGCGGACUUUCCCGGAAUUCAUGGUGUAGACUGAUUGGAUCGGCGAGAAUGGAUCAUGAGAGGAGAUUCAGCCCUUCACGCCUUCUUCCCACAAAUUUACAAUGAUUUCCUCCAGGAAAUUCCGUCCAGUUCUGUGCUGGAUGCUAGGGAGAUGCAGACAGGCAUGUGACUCCUGCUCACCAGAAAUGGAACCGGAACUGCCCAGCAGAUGAGACCAACCCAGAAGGAGCUACCCAGAGGCACCACAGUGAGGACUCGGUCCAGCCCAUUCACAAGUGAGCAGCAUCAACCACAGAAUCCUGGAGAAUGGGGUGAUGCUCUACCUGGGAGCCAGAGGAGGCUCUUCCCCCUUCCUUCCUUCCUUCCUUCCUUCCUUCCUUCCUUCCUUCCUUCCUUCCUCCCUCCCUCCCUCCCUCCCUCCCUCCCUCCCUCUCUCUCUUCCUCCCUCCCUCCAUUCCUAUAAACAUUUCCUCAGAACCACCACAGAAAAUCUCUUAACUAGGUUGCCAUUUCUUUGAUACUAAAGAGGCAGGAAGUUAAAUUCAUCGGGUAGCACUAACACAAGAGAAAACAAACCAGCUGUUUGGCUAAAUGUCCCACCUCCCACCCAGCUGUGCUGAUGAGCCCUCGGCUUCUCAAGCUACCGUCCACCUCUGCCUGCUUUGGGCCCAUGGACGUGGUGAAAACGCUGAGCAGUCCCCUGUGAACGUCAGCCUAGGCGUCGGAUAUUUACUUGAGUUUUUGUCCGGAAGCCGAUCUAUCUUCCACACCACUGCCCGGUAGGCGCUCUCGUAUUUCGCUGACCCCACAGUGACCUGAAUGACAGGUUCGGAUUCAGGUUCCUGUAAACUCCCCAGACAUGCCCGACGGUUCAUUUUGGCUUUCAGAGACUUCUGCCUCUGAAGGUUCCUGGUCCAGAGGGCCUUGAUCCAUUGGGCUGGGACAGGAAAGUGAAUCAUGAUAUUGUCACAGCACCUUGAGGAACUGGCAAGGGGUGACUUCUGAGCCCCCGGGGUCAUGUUGACAAAGGCCUGAAGUUCCACAUACGCCCCCUGGACAGCCACUAUGGACUUCACAGAAAAGGGAAGCUCAUCCCCUUCGUACGAGGUUUUGAAACGCAUCAGCUCAAACCGGCAAGCAUCCAGAGGUAUGAACUUAAUGAUUCUGGACUGUUCGAAUUCCUCAGCUUUCACACAUGUAUGGAAAUGGUAGUUAAGAAUAUCAAUCCCCCUUUUUUCUGGUUCUUUCUCAAAAUAGCAUUCAUCUCGUUUCUGGAGUUCAAGGUCAUUCAAGGUUAAAAAACAUUCCGCCGUCCCAUUCACAAAGCAGAGGCAGCAGAUUUGAGUUAUCACAGCACUUUCAACCAAUUUCCCAUCUUCUUUGGUGACUUUACCCCAAAAAUUGUCCACGAUGUCCAGGUAAAUUUCUUGUUCCUCGUAGUUCUUCCUUGGUUUCGAAACAGCGGGCAGCUUUACCAGCUCCUCCUCCACAGUGGUCAGGAACUCCAGGAAGUCACCAUGCUCCGUGGACCCCAACUUCAGCAUCUGCUCUACGUCAGGCUCGUGAACCACCUCCGUCUUGGAAUGGUAUUUCCUUUUCUCUGAGUAAGACACAUGCUCCACCUUCACAGUGUGGAUUUUCCCGGCCAUGCUGAAGUUCUCGAGUUUGGGUUCAGAAAGUCUGCAAUGUGGAUCGAGCUGGAACUCUUUGAACGGCUUUUCCAGCCCCUUCUCAUAAUACAUCUGCAGAAUCCCUCCUGACAGAACCUUCAGGAAAAUGGGUCCCCACUGCCUGGAAGACAUCAUGUUCUUCUUCUCGGGAAUCCUCAGCAUGAAGGACCAUCCAGCUUUGGGCUGACUCCGGAAGAGCGUGUUGGGGACAAAAGAAGAGGCGGGGUCUCCAGCACAGGGACUCUGCGUAGACGCGUUUCCAAGAGGGUCUUGGGUCUCAGCUGACUGCAGGUGCUCAAGCCUCUCACAGACGUAGCUAAGUGAGCACUGGUUUAGGCUUUUUUGAUCAAUGGGUACUUCCUUGUCCCUCGAUGAGAACGGCUUUCUGCUAGCCGGGGAGUCAAGGGAGAGCUGAGAACUGCUACCUUCAUCUUUCCAAAAUGGGUUGGAGAAAGAACAAUCCUCUCGAAAAUACUCGAACUGCAGAGCCUCGCUUCGGGCCCCCUGAGGGCUGGCGUCAUCUUCAAGACCAGCUUUGGGAGUCAGUGGGGUGCAUGAGGGGUCACUGGGUAAUGAUGCAUGGGGUAAGCAGGUUGGCUUAGUAAGCGAUAACGGAGGACCCGCUGUUGAGUGGGGGCUGCUUGAAGAACAUUCUGGAAUAGGAUAAAGCACGUGAGUCCCUGGUUUAGGGAUGCCGGGGAACCCCGGGAAGUCUUUGGUGGGUGUAGAGAGAGGAGAGUUGCUUGGAGGUCCUGGACUGAAGUAAAAGUCGACCAUGGGAGAGGAUAGUGGGGUGCUGCUGGUGGAGGAGGAAGCGCUAGGGAGGUCCCUGAGGCCGGGCAGGCUCAGCUUCAGUCCAUUUGGUCUGCAAACACCUUGGGUCUCCAGAGGGAAAUCCUUCGCCUUCGCCUGAGAAGACGGAAAAGCGGGGUCAUCAUCGAAGGUGACCCAGCUGCCUGGGUUUGUAGAACACAUCUUCAGGGUGGGCUUGUGGAAUGGUCAAAUAGUCAGGGACAUUGUCUCUGUAAAGGAGAAAGACAGGUUAAAGGUUAAAAAUAAAGGUUAAAAACCAAGA